UACGUAGGGGGCUAGCGUUAUCCGGAAUCAUUGGGCGUAAAGCGCGUGUAGGCGGUCCGGUAAGUCCGCUGUGAAAGUCGGGGGCUCAACCCUCGAAUGCCGGUGGAUACUGUCGGGCUAGAGUGCGGAAGAGGCGAGUGGAAUUCCUGGUGUAGCGGUGAAAUGCGCAGAUAUCAGGAGGAACACCAGUUGGCGAAGGCAGGUCUCGCUGGGACG
rnacentral:rRNA from 1 species